CCUGCUAAUACACUAUAAGGCAGUCUGAACUCGCACAAAACUGCAAAUUUGGGCUGAGAUUGGGUCUUGAGGGGGGGCGAGGUAAGGUGCCAUUGCAAGUGUUUUAAGGCCACCGCAACAGCAACUCUUCAUGGGUAAUUGGACUGACCCCAAAAUAUUCCUUCCACUGUAUUGGAACUGGAAUUUUCUUUAUGUGAGUGACAUUUCUUUAUGUCAUUCCUGGAAUAAAGCCUACAAGGGUGUAUCACAUCUCAAGACGCAUGUAAAGGGUUAAAAUAGGAGAUUGUGUUCUGUUCCUGCAUGCUGAAUUGUAAGACUUGGAAAAUGAGCGCAGUGGAACCUGGUGCGUACACACCUGUAGUAUACACGGGAUGCGGUCAGGGUGCCAGAAAUCCGAAUACACACCUGCAGUUUAUUGCACCUCCUUUUAUUUCCACCUAGUGAUUGUGCAACUUGCCCUCUUCAUUGCCAUAAGCCCAGUUUUCAGUUACAGACUGAGCAGAGAACCAGGAAUACAGU